GUGCUCACUUCGGCAGCGCAUAUACUAAAAUUGGAACAAUACAGAAAAGAUUAGCAUGGCCCCUGUGCAAGAAUGACAUGCAAAUUUGUGAAAAUGCUUACUUUGUU
rnacentral:snRNA from 1 species